AGACACGUAGCUCAGUCUGGUUAGAGCACCACCUUGACAUGGUGGGGGUCGGUGGUUCAAGUCCACUCGUGUCUACCA
rnacentral:tRNA from 1 species